rnacentral:rRNA from 1 species
GAGGAAUAUUGGUCAAUGGACGGAAGUCUGAACCAGCCAAGUAGCGUGCAGGAUGACGGCCCUAUGGGUUGUAAACUGCUUUUGUAUGGGGAUAAAGUUAGGGACGUGUCCCUAUUUGCAGGUACCAUACGGAUAAGGACCGGCUAAUUCCGUGCCAGCAGCCGCGGUAAUACGGAAGGUCCAGGCGUUAUCCGGAUUUAUUGGGUUUAAAGGGAGCGUAGGCUGGAGAUUAAGUGUGUUGUGAAAUGUAGACGCUCAACGUCUGAAUUGCAGCGCAUACUGGUUUCCUUGAGUACGCACAACGUUGGCGGAAUUCGUCGUGUAGCGGUGAAAUGCUUAGAUAUGACGAAGAACUCCGAUUGCGAAGGCAGCUGACGGGAGCGCAACUGACGCUUAAGCUCGAAGGUGCGGGUAUCAAACAGGAUUAGAUACCCUGGUAGUCCGCACAGUAAACGAUGGAUGCCCGCUGUUGGUACCUAGUAUCAGCGGCUAAGCGAAAGCAUUAAGCAUCCCACCUGGGGAGUACGCCGGCAACGGUG